rnacentral:rRNA from 1 species
GAGUUUGAUCCUGGCUCAGGAUGAACGCUAGCUACAGGCUUAACACAUGCAAGUCGAGGGGCAUCAUGAGGUCAGCUUGCUGACUUUGAUGGCGACCGGCGCACGGGUGCGUAACGCGUAUCCAAUCUACCGCAUACUCGGGGAUAGCCUUGCGAAAGUAAGAUUAAUACCCGAUGUUGUUUAUUAUUCGCAUGAAUGAUAAACCAAAGAAUUUCGGUAUGCGAUGAGGAUGCGUCCCAUUAGGUAGUUGGUGAGGUAACGGCUCACCAAGCCUCCGAUGGGUAGGGGUUCUGAGAGGAAGAUCCCCCACACUGGAACUGAGACACGGUCCAGACUCCUACGGGAGGCAGCAGUGAGGAAUAUUGGUCAAUGGACGAGAGUCUGAACCAGCCAAGUAGCGUGCAGGAAGACUGCCCUCUGGGUUGUAAACUGCUUUUAUACGGGGGUAAAAAACGCCACGUGUGGUGUCUUGCAAGUACCGUAAGAAAAAGGACCGGCUAAUUCCGUGCCAGCAGCCGCGGUAAUACGGAAGGUUCGGGCGUUAUCCGGAUUUAUUGGGUUUAAAGGGAGCGUAGGCGGAUGAUUAAGUCAGCUGUGAAAGUUUGAGGCUCAACCUUAAAAUUGCAGUUGAUACUGGUUGUCUUGAGCGUGCGCAGCGGCAUUGGAAUUCGUAGUGUAGCGGUGAAAUGCUUAGAUAUUACGAAGAACUCCGAUCGCGAAGGCAUAUGCCGGGAGCACAACUGACGCUGAGGCUCGAAAGUGUGGGUAUCAAACAGGAUUAGAUACCCUGGUAGUCCACACGGUAAACGAUGUAUACUCGCGAUUGGCGCUAUACAGUCAGUCGCUUAGCGAAAGUGUUAAGUAUACCACCUGGGGAGUACGCCGGCAACGGUGAAACUCAAAGGAAUUGACGGGGGCCCGCACAAGCGGAGGAACAUGUGGUUUAAUUCGAUGAUACGCGAGGAACCUUACCCGGGCUUGAACUGCAGGAGAGGGUGGCAGAGAUGCUGCUGUUCUUCGGACUCCUGUGGAGGUGCUGCAUGGUUGUCGUCAGCUCGUGCCGUGAGGUGUCGGCUUAAGUGCCAUAACGAGCGCAACCCUUUUCUGCGUUUGCCAUCAGGUAAUGCUGGGCACUCCGCAGAUACUGCCAUCGCAAGAUGUGAGGAAGGUGGGGAUGACGUCAAAUCAGCACGGCCCUUACGUCCGGGGCUACACACGUGUUACAAUGGGUGGUACAGAGGGUCGCAAUCUGGCGACAGUGAGCCAAUCCUCAAAUCCAUUCUCAGUUCGGAUUGGAGUCUGCAACCCGACUCCAUGAAGCUGGAUUCGCUAGUAAUCGCGCAUCAGCCAUGGCGCGGUGAAUACGUUCCCGGGCCUUGUACACACCGCCCGUCAAGCCAUGAAAGCUGGGGGUGCCUGAAAGCCGUGACCGCGAGGGUCGGCCUAGGGUAAAACUGGUGAUUGGGGCUAAGUCGUAACAAGGUAGC